ACCAUAAUAAUGCUAAGUAAGCUUACUAAAAUUCAAAAAAACCUCACAAAAAUUUCAAACAAAUAAUAAGAAUUCUUAAAGAAAUAUUAGAAGGAUCACAAAUAUCACUCAAAUAUAUUUCAAAACAAUCUUAAUUUAAUUCUAAUUAAAAUCCUAUAGAACUUCAUUCAAACUUUAAACCAAAACUAAUUGAAUCUUAAAUCCUAAUAAAAUCCUAAAUCAAACCCUAAUCAAAUCCUAAAUCCAAACUCUAAACCCUAAAUCCUAAACCUUAAACCAAACUCCAAACCCUAAACCAAAUCCUAACUAAAUCCUAAAUCCUAAAUCAAAUCCUAAUAAAAUCCUAAAUCCUAAAUUAAAUCCUAAUCAAACCUUAAACUCUAAAUCAAAUCCUAAUCCAAAUCCUAAAUUCUAAACCAAAUCCUAACCAAAUCCUAAACCAAAU
rnacentral:lncRNA from 1 species